CCUACGGGUGGCAGCAGUGAGGAAUCUUGGUCAAUGGACGAGAGUCUGAACCAGCCACGUAGCGUGCAGGCUGACUGCCCUAUGGGUUAUACACUUCUUUUAUAUGGGAAUAAACCAGGGUAUGCAUACCAUCUUGUAUGUACCAUAUGAGUAAGGAUCGGCUAACUCCUUGCCAGCAGCCGCGGUAAUACGGAGGAUCCGAGCGUUAUCCGGAUUUCUUGGGUUUAAAGGGAGCGUAGGUGGAUUGUUAAGUCAGUUGUUAAAGUUUGCGGCUCAACCGUAAAAUUGCAGUUGAAACUGGCAGUCUUGAGUACAGUAGAGGUGGGCGGAAUUCGUGGUGUAGCGGUGAAAUGCUGAGAUAUCACGAAGAACUCCGAUUGCGAAGGCAGCUCACUGGACUGCAACUGACACUGAUGCUCGAAAGUGUGGGUAUCAAACAGGAUUAGAUACCCUAGUAGUC
rnacentral:rRNA from 1 species